rnacentral:rRNA from 1 species
AACAAAAAAAAAGGUUUAUAUGAGUUUUUUUACACGCUCAGGAUGAACGCUGGCGGCGUGCCUAAUACAUGCAAGUCGAGCGAACGGACGAGAAGCUUGCUUCUCUGAUGUUAGCGGCGGACGGGUGAGUAACACGUGGAUAACCUACCUAUAAGACUGGGAUAACUUCGGGAAACCGGAGCUAAUACCGGAUAAUAUUUUGAACCGCAUGGUUCAAAAGUGAAAGACGGUCUUGCUGUCACUUAUAGAUGGAUCCGCGCUGCAUUAGCUAGUUGGUAAGGUAACGGCUUACCAAGGCAACGAUGCAUAGCCGACCUGAGAGGGUGAUCGGCCACACUGGAACUGAGACACGGUCCAGACUCCUACGGGAGGCAGCAGUAGGGAAUCUUCCGCAAUGGGCGAAAGCCUGACGGAGCAACGCCGCGUGAGUGAUGAAGGUCUUCGGAUCGUAAAACUCUGUUAUUAGGGAAGAACAUAUGUGUAAGUAACUGUGCACAUCUUGACGGUACCUAAUCAGAAAGCCACGGCUAACUACGUGCCAGCAGCCGCGGUAAUACGUAGGUGGCAAGCGUUAUCCGGAAUUAUUGGGCGUAAAGCGCGCGUAGGCGGUUUUUUAAGUCUGAUGUGAAAGCCCACGGCUCAACCGUGGAGGGUCAUUGGAAACUGGAAAACUUGAGUGCAGAAGAGGAAAGUGGAAUUCCAUGUGUAGCGGUGAAAUGCGCAGAGAUAUGGAGGAACACCAGUGGCGAAGGCGACUUUCUGGUCUGUAACUGACGCUGAGGCGAAAAAAGGGG